rnacentral:rRNA from 1 species
UACGAAGGGGGCUAGCGUUGCUCGGAAUCACUGGGCGUAAAGGGUGCGUAGGCGGUUGGGUAAGUCUGACGUGAAAUCUCCGGGCCUAACCCGGAAACUGCGUUGGAUACUAUCCGGCUAGAGGAAUGGAGGGGAGACUGGAAUACUUGGUGUAGCAGUGAAAUGCGUAGAUAUCAAGUGGAACACCAGUGGCGAAGGCGAGUCUCUGGACAUUUCCUGACGCUGAGGCACGAAAGCCAGGGGAGCAAACGGG